CCUAGUGUUGGAAACAGCCAGAAAGUUAAGAAUGUGUCCCUUUGCCACUGAUGGGAUUAUGGUAGUAGCUAGCCAGGGGAACAAAAUGAUUGCAUGCUUAUAAUCUAAAAAUUAAUUAUCUUUAUAAUUGGUUCUAUAGAUGAACUGCAGUUUCCAGUGUGAUAUGGUUGCACUUCAGUCACGGGAUGUAAAUUGUAUUUGAGACUCAGCUUUUUAUUUUGGAUAUUGCCAAGAGAAAAAUCUACAGCCAGCGCCAAAGGACUGCUCUGUCACUGCUUAGGUUUGCUCUCAUAAACUUUGAAAUACAACAUUCACAUUAGUUCCAGAAAACAGCAAAAUCUCUUCACAGACGAGCAGAUCAAUGGUGAACAUGGUCUUAAAGUGGCUGCAGGAAAGAUCGCUCAUACCCUCCACUAAUGUUCAGAGCUGAAUCGUCAGAUAUGGAGGUAGAAACAAUUGGAAUUCUACUCCUAUCUGACUAUUCAGCCUGAAAUGCAUGCCUUUGCAUGCAUUUAUGUCCAGCCCGAUCAACUGGACAACUGAUAUCCAAGGCUUUUGUGAUAUUGAUGGCCUCGUCAAUCCACCAUACACGCACCAAAUAUUGGUGCGUUUAUGGCCACCUUUACUCAUUUUCUUAGUCUCAACCACUAUUCCUUAUGUGUACAGACACAUUGGGAAUCAGUUAUCUCUUGUUUUGGUGUAAGGUGGCUGGUACUGCUAUGUAUAUAGCCUUAAAUAUGCUGAUGAAGACUCAUGUAGUCAGUUCUGCAUAGAGCAUCAGUUGUGCCCCUACAUUAAAAGAGCAGUUUAAAAACAAUAGAAAAGAACAUGGCAUCACCAGUGUUUGCCAGCUUAACGUUUUACCAAGUAUCAUUGGGACUAUUCAGCCUGCAGGGUUCACAAGGAAUAGUUUCAGCAGGCUGUAGGCAUGCAUCAGUAGGAGGCAACCCCAAAAUUUGCAGCUUUGUCCCUGUGUUUAUAUUGUACAAGAAAAUUGUCUUUCUAGCCCCAGCUGGCCAUACACGUUCCAAUAAAACUGUAUUUUUAGACCCUUUGUGGGCUCAUAAUUAUCGUCCCGAUUAUUUAUGUACCAUGUCAAUCGGCCAGGUUCGAAAAAUUUGUGUCAGAUAACGAUAAAAUCUGCGCAUGUAUUGUAUAUCAGACGAUACCCUUGGGAGACCUACAGUGGAAGUCACUUUAGUACGAUUGGUGUCUGCCAACUAUUUCAUGUUCAGAACAUCCUCAGAUUUGUAUUUUUAGGGCUUUAUCCUACAAUUUCAGUCUGAAUGUUAGUUUCAGAUUGUUGCAUUUAAACGUACAACGGAUAUCUGAAUGUUCAUGGGAAGAAGACUGAAAUCUGAAUGUGUAUGGCCACCUUUACUCUGUAUUGCUUCCUACUUUGUGAGAUCCCUACUCCUGUUUAGAUGCAUGGAUGGUGCAUUUUUUUCACAGGGGAAAGAAAAAAAUCUCAUAAAUAUUUUCUUGCAAAUGCUCCUGAUUACAGGUAAAGUUGUAUGAAGGAUAUCCUAUGAUGACUUAGAUAACUGUGCCACUGGUAUCUCUCUGAAAAUGUAGCGGGUUACAAAGUGCUGCAUGUUGGUAUACAAAAGCCAUACUAAGCAACCUAAAGGCAGACGUUACUAAGCAUUCCUUCCUAAACACAGAGACCUGCUAAGCCUCCAACAUAUCAAUACAUGAUCCCCAAAUAAACAUGUUUAGCAUUCUCAAAUGAUGCAAAAGAAUCACAGUUAUUGAGCAUUACUUGCCAAACAGGGGCAGAAACUGUGUCUUCCCUGUGCAAAUAUAUUUCUUUCAGAGCAUUUCUUCUAGCAUAUUGGAGAGUUACCAGACAUUCUCUGUCCAAAUGCACAUGAAUAUCUGAGCAUUUCUAACAAGACAGAGGGAAUUUACUAAUUCUUCUUACUCAGAUACAAAAGGGUUACUAAGCAUUCCUUAUGCAAAUGCAUGGGAGUUACUAAGCAUUCCUUUGCAAACACACAGUAGAUCCCUAGCCUCCCCUGAGCAAAUAAAUGAGACUUACUAUGUAUAGUUUCCCUAAUAAAGGAAUGUUACUGCGCAUUCCCUGCCUGAAAGUUCCUAAGACAGUGGUAGACAGGUGUUUAAUAGUCAUUUUCUCCCAUACUUAUGUUUAUGCUUGUCACAAAGGAAUUCAUGUUCCUUGUAGACAAAAAAGCACAUUCUCUGCAUUUUUUAAUGCAUCUAUAAUAUCCCUUCACCCACCCAACCAUACAUGAAAAUACAUUAAUUCAUAAAGACAGGGGCAUGGUGCUUCUGUUUAAAUCUUUGUAACUUCUCUACACAAACUCUUCCCAAUCCCCUGUGCUGCUAAGUCUUUCUUUCUAUAUAUAGUGCAAAACCAGGUGUCUUACUAAAACUUUCUUCAAAAUAUCUGUACAAAGCUACUAAGUAUUAAUUUCCAAAGUUUUUACAGAACUAGGAUUGUUACUAAGUAUUUAUUCCCAGAUUCUGUACAGAACCAGUGUUACUAAGUAUUUGUUGCCAAAUUCUGUACAGAGCUAGGAGAUUUACUAGGUAGGCAUUCCCAAAUUCUGUACAGUCAGGAGUGCUAAUAAGUAUUUUGUUGCUAAAUUCUUUAGAAAACAUGGAGAAGUAAUAUAUCCCACAUUCUGUGCAGUGCAGUGAGUUACUAGGUAUUCCCAAAUACUGUGCAGAGGCAUGUGAGUUACUAGCUAUUCCUUCUCAAAUAUGUACAGAGUAGUUACAGGCUUCCCUUCUGAUAUGGGGUGGGGUUACUAAAUAUUCCUUCCCAUACACUGUAAAGGGGAGUUACUAAAUAUUGUUUUAAAUAUAUUGUACUUGAAUGUAUCAAGUAUUCCUACCCAUAUAAAGGGAGCUGCUAAAAUUAUUUCUGGAAUAUUGUACAGAGGAGUUACCAAGCUUUCCUUCCCAAAUGCUGUACAUACUGUAAUUUUUAUUUCCAAAUCCAGGGGAGUUACUAAAUACUCUUUCCAAAAUAUUGUGCAGAGAUAUUUUUAAAUAAUGUGCAGGGAAUGUUUCUACACAUUUUUCAAAGUCAGAUGCUAUUUCUACUGCAGGGAAUUUAGUAACUUACCUAAAUGCAGGAAUUCAUCAAGUAUCCCUUUCCUACUGUAAUUCAGCCCAGUCAGUUACUAUCCCUUUCCAAAUAUAGACAAGAUACUCAUCCUCUUCUGUCCAGAUACAGAACAAUUUACUAUUAGUAAUGGAUAAUAUCCCUUAACUCUUCCUACCAACUGGAGCAGAAUGAGUGCCCCAACUCUUAACAAAGGUUUAUAUGAAUUAAUGAUUUUUUCAUUUUAUAACCAUAACCCAGGGACUUAUAGCUGCUAUAAAAUACCCUAACUGCUUGAGUCCCAUGCUCAAGUAUAGUAAUAAUAUCACAUAAUAUACCUUUACUUCCACUGUGCCCUGGGAAUUAGGAUAAAUUACUUUGCGCCUGGAGACACUGCACAAAAACUGCCGGGAGUAUUUAGUAUAAGUAUAUUGCACUAACUCUGCUUCCAUUUUUGCCCCUUGGAAAGAUCCUAGAGAAUGGGUUAAUGGUUGAUAGUUUCCUUCCAGUUAAUAUUUAACUGCUGUUUUUAUCGGCUCCUCUGAUGUACAAAUCCAAAUGACUCUCGAGAAGUCUAACAAGAUUCUUCUCUCUUCUAGGCAGGAUAUUCAUAAAUUACUGAGAUGUAGGGAGUGCUGUGGAAACUGUAACAUUACUACUAUAUAUAUAUAUAUAUAUAUACCUUCCUCAUAUGCUGUAUUACUGCUAUGUACAAUACGCACAUAUGGAAUGGCAAGGAUUUGAGCAAACAUGUGAAACCUAUUUACAGCAGAUCUUUGGACUAAAUACACAAAGAUCUACACUCGAUAAUGCUGUAUACUGUUAGCUUUCUGUGCCUGGUGUAUUGCCUGGUCAGUUUACCAAGCAAUACGUUGUGCCUAGGACUGGCACUGUGCAUGCUAUUGUAUGUACCUGUGCAUAUCGCCUGACUGGCACUGUGCAUGUUAUUGUAUGUAUGUACCUGUGCAUAUCGCCUGACUGGCAGAAUGUAUGUUGCUGUAUGUAUCACCUUGCUGUAUUGUUAGCAGUGUGUAUGUUGCUGUGUGUAUUACCUGACUGGCAGAGUUUAUGUUACUGUAUAUACCUAUGUGUCUGUUCAAACCUAAUUGGCAGUGUGUAUGAUACUGUAUGUACUUAUGUUUAUCACCUGACUGGCAGCGUGUAUGUUAUUUUGUGUAUCUAGUUGUCAUUUUCCUGCGUAUACAUGUCAGUCUUUAUUUCCUGGCAGUGUAAGGCAUUAAAGAAAACGAUACAGUUUAUUUCGGUGUUUUUAUUUAUUUGUUUUUUUGGGGGGUUAUUUAAACUGGGGAAAUAACCUCAACUUGACUUUUAAUUGUGUAUUUUCAAAUGUUGCAUUUAUACGUUCAUGUAAAUUUACAGUCUGUUUCCACAUUUCAAAAUCUACAUUAUAUUAAUGGCGAUAGGUUUACAUACAGCUAGCACGAAUAUAUGUAGUUAUUCUAUAUGCCUUAUGUAUCUAGAUACAUGUUUAUAUAUGUUUUCUUUUUUUAAAUAAAAUAUUUAUGUUUUAAAUGGA